rnacentral:lncRNA from 1 species
UUUUAGUUUAAUGGCAUCCACGAGGAAGUGUCGGCCUUAGUCAACAACCUGUAC